AUUGAACGCUGGCGGCAUGCCUUACACAUGCAAGUCGAACGGUAACGGGCCUUCGGGUGCCGACGAGUGGCGAACGGGUGAGUAAUGUAUCGGAACGUACCUUUCAGUGGGGGAUAACGUAGCGAAAGUUACGCUAAUAUCGCAUAUUCUGUGAGCAGGAAAGCAGGGGAUCGCAAGGCCUUGCGCUGAUUGAGCGGCCGAUAUCAGAUUAGCUAGUUGGUGAGGUAAAGGCUCACCAAGGCGACGAUCUGUAGCGGGUCUGAGAGGAUGAUCCGCCACACUGGAACUGAGACACGGUCCAGACUCCUACGGGAGGCAGCAGUGGGGAAUUUUGGACAAUGGGGGCAACCCUGAUCCAGCCAUGCCGCGUGAGUGAAGAAGGCCUUCGGGUUGUAAAGCUCUUUCGGCCGGGAAGAAAUCGUAUGGGUUAAUACCCUGUGCGGAUGACGGUACCGGCAUAAGAAGCACCGGCUAACUACGUGCCAGCCGCCGCGGUAAGAC
rnacentral:rRNA from 1 species